UACGUAGGGCGCAAGCGUUGUCCGGAAUUAUUGGGCGUAAAGAGCUCGUAGGUGGCGUGUCGCGUCUGCCGUGAAAGCCCAUGGCUUAACUGUGGGUCUGCGGUGGAUACGGGCAGGCUGGAGGCUGGUAGGGGCAAGCGGAAUUCCUGGUGUAGCGGUGAAAUGCGCAGAUAUCAGGAGGAACACCGGUGGCGAAGGCGGCUUGCUGGGCCAGUUCUGACGCUGAGGAGCGAAAGCGUGGGGAGCGAACUGG
rnacentral:rRNA from 1 species